AACGAACGCUGGCGGCAGGCUUAACACAUGCAAGUCGAACGCCCCGCAAGGGGAGUGGCAGACGGGUGAGUAACGCGUGGGAACAUACCCUUUCCUGCGGAAUAGCUCCGGGAGACUGGAAUUAAUACCGCAUACGCCCUACGGGGGAAAGAUUUAUCGGGGAAGGAUUGGCCCGCGUUGGAUUAGCUAGUUGGUGGGGUAAAGGCCUACCAAGGCGACGAUCCAUAGCUGGUCUGAGAGGAUGAUCAGCCACAUUGGGACUGAGACACGGCCCAAACUCCUACGGGAAGCAGCAGUGGGGAAUAUUGGACAAUGGGCGCAAGCCUGAUCCAGCCAUGCCGCGUGAGUGAUGAAGGCCUUAGGGUUGUAAAGCUCUUUCACCGAUGAAGAUAAUGACGGUAGUCGGAGAAGAAGCCCCGGCUAACUUCGUG
rnacentral:rRNA from 1 species